CUCUAUGAAGAGGAAUAAAGACAGACAGAUACAUCUCUAUGAAGAGGGAUAAAGGUGACAAACAGGUGAAUAACAGGUGACUAACAGGUGACAAACAGGUGAAUAACAGGUGACUAACAGGUGACUAACAGGUGAAUAACAGGUGACUAACAGGUGAAUAACAGGUGAAUAAGAGGUGACUAACAGUUGAAUAACAGGUGACUAACAGGUGAAUAACUGGUGACUAACAGGUAACUAACAGGUGAAUAACAGGUGAAUAAGAGGUUACAAACAGGUGAAUAACAGGUGACCAACAGGUGACCAACAGGUGACCAACAGGUGACCAACAGGUGACCAACAGGU